GACGAACGAUGGCGGAGGGAGGAACACAUGCAAGUCGAACGGAAAGGCCCUGCUUUUGUGGGGUGCUCGAGUGGCGAACGGGUGAGUAACACGUGAGUAACCUGCCCUUGACUUUGGGAUAACUUCAGGAAACUGGGGCUAAUACCGGAUAGGAGCUCCUGCUGCAUGGUGGGGGUUGGAAAGUUUCGGCGGUUGGGGAUGGACUCGCGGCUUAUCAGCUUGUUGGUGGGGUAGUGGCUUACCAAGGCUUUGACGGGUAGCCGGCCUGAGAGGGUGACCGGCCACAUUGGGACUGAGAUACGGCCCAGACUCCUACGGGAGGCAGCAGUGGGGAAUAUUGCACAAUGGGCGGAAGCCUGAUGCAGCAACGCCGCGUGCGGGAUGACGGCCUUCGGGUUGUAAACCGCUUUCGCCUGUGACGAAGCGUGAGUGACGGUAAUGGGUAAAGAAGCACCGGCUAACUACGUG
rnacentral:rRNA from 1 species